GGGACUGUAGUUCAGCGGUAGAACUCCCGUUUCGCAUGCAGAGGGGUCGUGGGUUCGAUCCCCGCCAUCUCCU